rnacentral:tmRNA from 1 species
GGGCUAGUAAAGGUUUCGACGGGGAUCUUGAAGCUGGUGAAGCUAUCCGCAGGAAAGCGUCAAAUUCCAAACUUAAAUAUAAACGCUAACGAUAAUUUAGCAUACGCUGCCUAAUUGCAGCAGUCUGACUUAAAGCACCUACACUUUAAGACCCAGGCUUCGAACAUGUAGGAAACGACAGUAUCAAGCUUUGAGGUGCUGGUCGUAUCAUGAAGCUACUAAAGGUACAAGGGUGUUGAUUCCCGUGCACCGGAGGGAAUGUCAAAUAAUCAACUAUGAUAGUAGAAGAACAGGGAAUGGGUUUUCGGACAGGGGUUCGACUCCCUCUGGUCCAUAG